rnacentral:misc_RNA from 1 species
UAGAGCCUCUUGACAUCGUAAUAGCACGAGAGGUUCGGUGAUGGGGGGGAAAGGUGCUUAAUAUAUUAAGUAACUCGCUGGCUACCUACUCUAC